UAUGGCGUCGAUGCAACGCGAUAAAAAAAGUUAAAAAUUGAUCCAAAUGCGCUUUGUUCACAUGUCAGCGAUUCGCUUUAUGAAGCAAAUUGUUUAAAAAACAAAAUUGCUAAAAUCUCGUCCAUAAAUGUGGGAAUGACAGCUGACAGUCAGUUGGUUGAAGUCUUUUUGAUUUGCCGGUUUGGGCUUUAUAAUAUAGUACAGGAGGUGGUCUCUAUGCUAUCGUCUGCGAGGUUUUUGCCUGAAAGCGUGGUUAUUUCGAAGGUCGCUCGCAUUCUCGGGAUAUGUGAACCAGGUGUCAAGAAUGUAAUUCAUUUGUUUGAAAAAGCAGAGAGUUUUAACGGCAGUAUUAAUACCAGUAAAAACGAAGAAUUAAAUGUCAUCUUAACACCGUAAACUUCAAUCUGCUUCGAAUGUCAACAGCAGUUAGUUGUAAACCAUGCCCCAACAGAAGCUCGGAUUUACACUCUGAAAGGUUUUGUUAACGGAUAAAAAUGGUCCCUUCGCUGUAAUGGAUGCAAGUCUACAUACAAUUACAGCAAGUAUGGUUCACGCAAUGGCUGGAAAAUGUACCCAAAUCACUAUAAUAAAAAUCAGAGAACUCUAGUCGAAUCGUCAGAUUGUUGUUUUUUGGAGCGUGACGUUUUCAAUUGGAUGACUUCGUUGAGGUAAGUUCAUUAUUUAUUGCUGCCGAAGGCAGCGUUUAUACUCACAGUAGGAAAAACUUCACUAACAUCUCAUGUAUGGCCGGAUCGUGGAUUGAUUCAAAAUUCAGGCGAUAAAGUUACAAAACUAGGAGUUGGCUUUUAUAUGCUCUUCGAAUAAUUCCGUUUUCAUUCGUGUAUUACCACAACUUGUUGGUCUCAUGGGUGCCAAAAUCGACAUAUACGUAAACCGGUAACCAUAAACAUGCUACUGCGUGAUAGUGAUUUCGAAGGAACUUUGUCACAUAUAUUUUAAAAAGUGGGAUAAAUAUAAAUGAAUCAAAAUUUGUUUUUGCAACCCCAAAUAGGUUAUCAUGACAGCAGCAAAAACCCCAUCAUGACAGCAGCAAAAAUUGCACCUGAAAUAGCAGCAAAAUUGCAAGCGUAAACGGGCCUUAAGCCAAGGUUUACAGUUUAGGGUUUGCAAAGGACAACAUUUAUUGCAUUGGC